rnacentral:rRNA from 1 species
UACGUAGGGUGCGAGCGUUGCCCGGAUUUAUUGGGCGUAAAGGGCGCGUAGGCGGCCACGCACGUCCGUUGUGAAAUCGCCCGGCUCAACUGGGCGGGGUCAGCGGAUACGGUGUGGCUCGAGCAAGCUAGGGGGCAAUGGAAUUCCCGGUGUAGUGGUGGAAUGCGUAGAUAUCGGGAGGAACACCAGUGGCGAAGGCGGUUGCCUGGAGCUUUGCUGACGCUGAGGAGCGAAAGCUAGGGGAGCAAACGGG